rnacentral:rRNA from 1 species
GUACACUCCUGCGGGAGGCAGCAGUGGGGAAUAUUGCACAAUGGGCGCAAGCCUGAUGCAGCCAUGCCGCGUGUAUGAAGAAGGCCUUCGGGUUGUAAAGUACUUUCAGCGGGGAGGAAGGCGAUAAGGUUAAUAACCUUGUUGAUUGACGUUACCCGCAGAAGAAGCACCGGCUAACUCCGUGCCAGCAGCCGCGGUAAUACGGAGGGUGCAAGCGUUAAUCGGAAUUACUGGGCGUAAAGCGCACGCAGGCGGUCUGUCAAGUCGGAUGUGAAAUCCCCGGGCUCAACCUGGGAACUGCAUUCGAAACUGGCAGGCUAGAGUCUUGUAGAGGGGGGUAGAAUUCCAGGUGUAGCGGUGAAAUGCGUAGAGAUCUGGAGGAAUACCGGUGGCGAAGGCGGCCCCCUGGACAAAGACUGACGCUCAGGUGCGAAAGCGUGGGGAGCAAACAGGAUUAGAAACCCCUGUAGUCCC